GGAGCAUGCUCGCUGACUGACUGCUGCGGCAGCCAAUGAGCCCUCGAGCUGAGGAUGAAGGGCGGGCUGCGGCGGCACAACGGCCUGUGGCGGCGCGCGGUGGAGGCCUGUGGGGGCGUUCUUGUGUGCGCUGCGGGAUGUGCGCUGUGGUGGUGGAGGGGGUCCUUGUGAGGAGAGCAAGGCCCCGUGAGGGGAGCAGGGCCCGUGUGGAGCUCUUCAUGCCUUCACUGCUGCUCCUGCGGCCUGCCCGCAUUGCUUCCUCUGUGGAAGUGAGGUGGAGUGUCUGUGGUGGUGGAGGCGUACUCAGGGCCUGCAGUUUUCCAAGACAGGGUAGAGCGUGGAAUGGGAACGAUGUCUGCCAAACUUACAGCUUUUAAGCUUAAAAGAUUUAAACGAAGAUUGGAAAGGAUCUCAAUGCACUGAGUACAAGAGGGGGAAACAAAGAUGGAGGGAGAAUACAGGAGUCACUGCAUCUGCUAACAUAUGGCAGCAGCCCCGUUGCUGUGCUCAUGGGCAGGAUUGUGCUGCUGUCUGAGGUGCUGAAGCCAGAGGGCCGCCAGGGGGUCCUGGAGAUCCCCAUAUACCCAGCGGUGUGCCCGGUGCCCCCGUUACACAAGUCAAAACUACACC
rnacentral:lncRNA from 1 species